rnacentral:tRNA from 1 species
AGCUUUAUGGUGUAAUGCAUGCCAGACUGCAAACCUGGUGGCGCAGGGUAACUCCUGCUAAAGCUU